AUUGAACGCUGGCGGCAGGCCUAACACAUGCAAGUCGGGCGGGGUUUUCGGACCUAGCGGCGGACGGGUGAGUAAUGCUUAGGAAUCUGCCUAUUAGUGGGGGACAACAUUCCGAAAGGAAUGCUAAUACCGCAUACGUCCUACGGGAGAAAGCAGGGGAUCUUCGGACCUUGCGCUAAUAGAUGAGCCUAAGUCGGAUUAGCUAGUUGGUGGGGUAAGGGCCUACCAAGGCGACGAUCUGUAGCGGGUCUGAGAGGAUGAUCCGCUACACUGGGACUGAGACACGGCCCAGACGCCUACGGGAGGCAGCAGUGGGGAAUAUUGGACAAUGGGCGAAAGCCUGAUCCAGCCAUGCCGCGCGUGUGAAGAAGGCCUUCGGGUUGUAAAGCACUUUCAGCGAGGAGGAAGGGGUAGUAGUUAAUAGCUGCUACUUUUGACGUUACUCGCAGAAGAAGCACCGGCUAACUCUGUGCCAGCAGCCGCGGUAA
rnacentral:rRNA from 1 species